GCUAAAAUGAUUAUUCCCUGUUGGAUUACGAUUUAAUUUAGCUAAAAUUAUUAAAUUUGUCCAUAAUUAAAAAUCAAAGUGAUGAUAAUUGCAAUGUAAUUGACCAAUUAAUUUUUAAUUUGACCAAAAAUUGAAUGGCUAAAAUCUAAAUCCUAAUCUAAUAGACCAUUUUAUAAAUGGCCUAAAAUUCAUUCCUAAUCUAACACCCCAGCGACCCACUCCAACAGGCGAUCCGGCCCAACAACAACAACUUUAGCCGCCCCAGCCCAAACCUCUAAUGACCCGACCCACUUCUCUUCUUCAACAAAACAAAAACGGACCUAAUUUCCCUCAGCCAUACCACGAUAACAACAGUCCAAGCGUACAGAGAAACAACGUACGACAACUUCAGCAAAAUCAAUGUCGAACAACGCUCAAACCACUGGAUAAUGAAAAAAUUGGUGGUCUUUCACCUCUCCCCUCAUCGGUUUGAAAAAUUUGGUGGUUUUUCACCUCUCCCCUCAUCGGUUUUCUCCCUUCACCCGCGAUUUUCAGUCCGUUUCCAUCAAAUAUCACCUCCAUCCCUUUCUGAAAAGGAGAAAACAUGGAGGUUCAAUGGUUCUUGAAGUAUUGUCUCUUUGAAUCUGUGGACAAAUAGUUGUUCAUCUGGAAGAACCGAAAUUAUCAAAAUCAAAUCUCCCAAAUCUCAAUCUUUAAAAAUCCCUUCUGAAAAGUCGAAGUCUCUGGUGAAAUCGCUCUCCAACUUAUCGUCUUAGUUCGCUGCUCCCGAAAAGGUAACACUCCUUUUACUUUGUCCUAAUUCAGCUAUGCAUUUGAUAUCCACUUUUAUGAGUUUGAGUGAAAUUUGAUGUGCCUAGAUUAGCUUUACAAUAUUCUAUGUUUACUGGCGAUCUUUCGGUCACUAUGUAUAGAUUAUGAUCCAACAGAGAGUAAAAACUUGAAUUUUUAUAAUAGAAAAAAACGUGUAUUCCUUUCUUGUGAAAAUUCCAAUCACGUAACCCGGUGGCUUUUCUUGUUAUGGCAUGGAGCAGGGAUUCUUAUUGUGUUAUAUUUGACUAUGUUUCUCCUUAUGUGUUUAAGCUGGGUUCUCUUUUUUUUCAAAAAAAAAAUAAAAUCUUUUCUUUGCUCUGCCUUUUGG